CCUACGGGAGGCAGCAGUGGGGAAUAUUGGACAAUGGGGGCAACCCUGAUCCAGCCAUGCCGCGUGUGUGAAGAAGGCCCUCGGGUUGUAAAGCACUUUCAGUGAGGAAGAACGCCUGGUGGUUAAUACCCAUCAGGAAAGACAUCACUCACAGAAGAAGCACCGGCUAACUCCGUGCCAGCAGCCGCGGUAAUACGGAGGGUGCGAGCGUUAAUCGGAAUUACUGGGCGUAAAGCGCGCGUAGGUGGCUUGAUAAGCCGGUUGUGAAAGCCCCGGGCUCAACCUGGGAACGGCAUCCGGAACUGUCAAGCUAGAGUGCAGGAGAGGAAGGUAGAAUUCCCGGUGUAGCGGUGAAAUGCGUAGAGAUCGGGAGGAAUACCAGUGGCGAAGGCGGCCUUCUGGACUGACACUGACACAGAGGUGCGAAAGCGUGGGUAGCAAACAGGAUUAGAUACCCCAGUAGUC
rnacentral:rRNA from 1 species